rnacentral:rRNA from 1 species
AUUGAACGCUGGCGGCAUGCUUUACACAUGCAAGUCGAACGGCAGCACGGGCUUCGGCCUGGUGGCGAGUGGCGAACGGGUGAGUAAUGCAUCGGAACGUGCCCCAUUUGUGGGGGAUAACUACGCGAAAGCGUGGCUAAUACCGCAUACGCCCUGAGGGGGAAAGCGGGGGAUUCUUCGGAACCUCGCGCAAUUGGAGCGGCCGAUGUCAGAUUAGCUUGUUGGUGAGGUAAAGGCUCACCAAGGCGACGAUCUGUAGCGGGUCUGAGAGGAUGAUCCGCCACACUGGGACUGAGACACGGCCCAGACUCCUACGGGAGGCAGCAGUGGGGAAUUUUGGACAAUGGGGGCAACCCUGAUCCAGCCAUGCCGCGUGAGUGAAGAAGGCCUC